UACGUAGGGGGCAAGCGUUGUCCGGAUUUAUUGGGCGUAAAGCGCGUGUAGGCGGCCAAGCAGGUCAGCUGUGAAAACUCGAGGCUCAACCUCGAGACGUCGGUUGAAACCGCUUGGCUAGAGUCCGGAAGAGGAGAGUGGAAUUCCCGGUGUAGCGGUGAAAUGCGCAGAUAUCGGGAAGAACACCCGUGGCGAAGGCGGCUCUCUGGGACGGUACUGACGCUGAGACGCGAAAGCGUGGGGAGCGAACAGG
rnacentral:rRNA from 1 species